UGGGGGAUAUUGCACAAUGGGGGAAACCCUGAUGCAGCGACGCCGCGUGAGCGAUGAAGGUUUUCGAAUCGUAAAGCUCUGUCCUAUGGGAAGAUAAUGACGGUACCAUGGGAGGAAGCCCCGGCUAACUACGUGCCAGCAGCCGCGGUAAUACGUAGGGGGCGAGCGUUGUCCGGAAUUACUGGGCGUAAAGGGUUCGCAGGCGGCAUGGCAAGUCCGAUGUAAAAGGCGAAGGCUCAACCUUCGUAAGCAUCGGAAACUGUCAAGCUUGAGUGAAGGAGAGGCAAGUGGAAUUCCUAGUGUAGCGGUGGAAUGCGUAGAUAUUAGGAGGAAUACCGGUGGCGAAGGCGACUUGCUGGACUUCAACUGACGCUGAGGAACGAAAGCGUGGGUAGCAAACAGG
rnacentral:rRNA from 1 species